UACAUGGGGUGCAAACGUUGCUCGGAAUUAUUGGGCGUAAAGCGCACGUAGGUGGUCUGUUAUGUCGGAUGUGAAGGCCCUCGGCUUAACUGAGGAAGUGCAUCCGAAACUGGCAGGCUUGAGUACGAAAGAGGAUCGCGGAAUUCCCGGUGUAGAAGUGAAAUUCGUAGAUAUCGGAAGGAACACCAGUGGCGAAGGCGGCGACCUGGUUCGAUACUGACACUGAGGUGCGAAAGCGUGGGGAGCAAACAGG
rnacentral:rRNA from 1 species